CAGCAGCCGCGGUAAUACAGAGGGUGCGAGCGUUAAUCGGAUUUACUGGGCGUAAAGCGUGCGUAGGCGGCUUCUUAAGUCGGAUGUGAAAUCCCUGAGCUUAACUUAGGAAUUGCAUUCGAUACUGGGAAGCUAGAGUAUGGGAGAGGAUGGUAGAAUUCCAGGUGUAGCGGUGAAAUGCGUAGAGAUCUGGAGGAAUACCGAUGGCGAAGGCAGCCAUCUGGCCUAAUACUGACGCUGAGGUACGAAAGCAUGGGGAGCAAACAGGAUUAGAUACCCGAGUAGUCCCUGUCUCUUAUAA
rnacentral:rRNA from 1 species